AUCAACUGCUGGUGAACUUAUCACACGAAACAGUUGCUAUGACAGAAGAAGAGCUUACCAUAACUAUGGCCUUAUCUUCUUCAAGCUCUCCUGCCAUCCUCACUGCCUCCCAUUUCUCCACUAACCCACCAAACCCAAAGCUUACCACCACUACCUUUUACUUCUCUUCCAGAUUCAUCACCGCCAAUUACAGCAAAACCAGUUUCUUGAACCUUAAUUCAAGCAAUAAUGAUAAUAACUCAACCUUUGAUGAUAAAUGGAGAGCUAAGGUUUCUUUCUUUCCUGCUUUCUUGAGAAAGAAGAAGGACGCUAAUGUCCUUAAGGAAGAGCUUCUCGAUGCCAUUGCUUCUCUUGAUCGUGGUGCUGAGGCCACUCCUGAAGAUCAGCAGAGAGUUGAUGAGAUUGCACGCCAACUUGAAGCUGUUAAUCCAACAAAGCAGCCACUCAAAUCUGACUUAAUAAAUGGGAAAUGGGAGCUUAUUUACACUACUUCACAAUCAAUUUUGCAAACCCAGAGGCCUAAAUUUCUAAGGUCCAAAACCAACUACCAAGCAAUCAAUGUGGAUACACUCAGGGCUCAAAACAUGGAAUCUUGGCCCUUCUUCAACCAGGUAACUGCAGAUUUGACGCCUUUGAAUGCAAAGAAAGUAGCUGUUAAGUUUGAUACUUUCAAAAUCGCCAGUCUGAUACCAGUUAAGGCACCUGGAAGCGCUCGUGGUGAGUUGGAAACUACAUAUUUAGAUGAAGAACUAAGGAAUUAGCAGGCUUAAGAUGAAGAGAAAGGAUCUGAAAGUACAUGUUUUGAGGAAUUUAACAGAACAAUGGACAAUACAAUGCCUUUUUCUGAAUACAUGCAUGCAUGUGCCUGAGCUUUAACAAUGUCAUUGGCAAUCUUCUCAACUAAGGGUGGUAGUCUAAAUUUUGGGAGUUAAGCAAUUGGAAACCACCACCUGAAUUUCCAGGGGUGACAAAGGAAAUUUGUUUGUCUUGAAAAUGAUUGAUCCUUCUUACCGUGUCCCUGCCUGAUGUAUUAAUCACAUUGCAGCACUGUAAUUUUCUGGUCCUUGAAUAUGAGACAGCAGGUUUCACUUGGAGAUAUUCCCUGGAAUUACCUGAUGUAUAAAUACUUUAUUAGAAA